GCAGUGCAGUGCCCAUUACACAAUAAUUCAAAUAAAAAGAAAAAAAACUCAGUUGAGUUAGUUUUAUUAACAAUAGCAUGUUCUCUCACAAAUAUGUGCCAAAAUUAUUAAUAUACAUCUCAUUAAACAUUUUGGUCAUAAACAUUAUCAGCGUGUUUGGAGACUAAAGGGGAUAGCAUACAAGAAGAAGCACCUGAUAUCCCAGUGUAAAAUAUGGCGGUGGAUGACUGAAGUCUUGUGGUUUUUUUGUGGUUGGUGGUUCAGGGGCUCUUGUGAAGACUGUUGCUUGCCAUCAUGAGUACUACUAUGGUAUUUCAGCCCAAAACCUUGUUACCUCUGCCAGGAAGUCUAGACUAGGCUAUAGAUAGAGGUGACGUGGCCACUUUCACAAAAACGAUGAACAAGUAUUCUUUCAAAUCAAUGUAAAUUUUUAAAGAAACAAAAUCAUCUCAGUCUCCAGAUGUAAAAUCUAUUGAAAUACUGUGGUCUGACUUGAAGAGGAAAUUCCACAUGAAAAAAACUGUAAAGAAGCUUAAAAUAAAGCUGAAUAAAGAUUCCUUCUACAAGUUUCUCAAACCUUGUUAAACAUUACAGGAAGACAGGGCAGUGAUCACAAUAUAUUAAUUGUAGGGCUGCUGAUCAUUUUGAAACCAGUGUAUUGAAGAAAUACAUUUUUAUGUCCUGCACAAUAAAAUUAUGCAGUGUGACAUUAUUGCAGAACAAACUAAUAUCAUCCCAGCUGAAAGAGAAAUAUCACAUGAGAGGAAUGGGAAUCAGGAAUAUGGUCACACCCAAUGACUAAUGUAUGCUCUGUACAAGUUAUCUGAAGUGCACUAUUGUACAUUUGCUGAGAGUGAAGUGAACUGUAAAUAUCAUGCAUCAACAUGACUGAGUGCAGAGAACAGUGUAAUUUGGUCAGGAUCAAUAAAAUGUUAUCACGCUUUGUUGAUAAGAGUUUUUAAAAGAAAGGCUCAUGUCAAAUAUUAUUUAAGGCCAUCCUCAUAAAUUAGAUGUCAGGAGUGUUUGCUGUUAUCUGUUUAAACUUCCCUAAUGACACCAACACAAUUAAAAAUUGGUGAAGCCUCUCCAGUUUACUGGACAAAUGGUUGUGAAUGCUAAGGGAUUUACAGUCCCCUCCAAAAGUAUUGGAAAGGCAAGGCCAAUCUAUACACUAAAGGCAUUUGGGUUUGAGAUCAGCAGAUGAAUAUGAGACAAUAGAUCAGAAUUUCAGGUUGUAUGUCAUAAUAUUUACAAAUAGAUGUGCUAAACAACAUAGAAAAUGCCACCUUUGAUUGCAGGCCACCCAUUUUUUAAGUGAGCUACAGUAUUGGAACAGAUCAAUUCAAACAUAUUUAAAGUAAAGUAAAUAAUACUUAAUAUUUGGUUGCAUAUCCCUUGCUUGCAUUAACUGCAUCAAGUUGGCGACCCACUGACAUCACCAAACUGUUGCAUUCUUCUUGUGUGAUGCUUUUCCAGGCUUUUACCCCAGCUUCUUUCAGUUGUUAUUUGUUUUGGGGGGGUUUCUCCUUUCAGUGUCCUCUUCAGGAGGUCAAAUGUAUGCUCAAUUGGGUUAUGUUCUGGUGAUUGAGUUGUCCAGUAUAAAACCUUUCACUUUUUCCCCUUGAUAAAGUACUUUGUGGAGUUGGCAGUGUGUUUUGGGUCAUUGUCACUGCCUGAUGAAGUUCCUCCAAAUUAGAUUGGAUGCAUUGCUCUACAAAUUGGCAGACAAAAUGUUCCUGUAAACUUCUGAAUUCAUUCUGCUGCUUCCAUCAUGAGUUACAUCAUCAAUAAAUAUUAGUGGGUCUGUACCAGAAGCAGCCAUGCAAGCCCAAGCCAUGACACUACCUCCGCCAUGUUUGACAGAUGAGCUUGUAUGUUUUGGAGCAUGAGCAGAACCUUUCUUUCUCCAUACUUUGGCCUUUCCAUCACUUUGGUUGAGGUUAACAUUUGUGACUCAUCUCUGUAUUUCUUUGCAAAUUCCAAUCUGGCUUUCCGAUUCUUACUGCUGAUGAGUGGUUUGCAUCUUCUGGUAUGGCCUCUAUAUUUCUGCUCUCAAAGUCUUCUUCAAACGGUGGAUUGUGCUACCGUCACUUCUGCCCUGUGGAGGUUGUUUGUGAUGUCACUGACUGCUGUUUUGGGGUUCUUCUUUACAGCUCUCACAAUUAUUCUGUCAACAACUGCUGCUGUUUUCCUUGGCAAACUGUUUGAUCUCUGGUUGUUACACUGUACAUCAGGGAUAUUUUUUUCAUUUUCAGGACACUCCAAAUUGCUAUAUUGGCUAUACCCAAUGCUUCUGAAAUGGCUCUGAUAGAUUUUUUCCUCUUUUCACAGUUUCAAAAUGGCUUUCUUUUCUCCCAUAGACAGCUUUCUUGUCUUCAUGUUGGUUUAUACUUUUUAACAACAAAUGCGGUCUUCACAGGAAAAACCCAGGGAUCAAACCAAGAGUAGACAUUAAGAGCUAUUAACUGUUUUAACAAUCAAUUUAACAGGACACAUAUGGGCAAGAAGAAACUCCUAUCAGUCACAUGUUCCAAUAUUGAAGGUGCUUAAAUUGUUUAACACAUCUAGAUGUACAUAUCAGGAAAUUAUAUUGGUGUAUAAAAUUAUCUUCAGUGUAUAAAAUUGGCUUUGCCAUUUCAAUAAUUUCAGAGGGGAUUGUAGGUUUCCUCUUUUCACAAUAAAUAUAGACAUUUCUCUACAAAUACAAAUUCUACAUUGAUCAUAAGCAUUGGUUACAGGAAUAUAUGAUAUACGUAGUGAAAAGAAACAUUCAGAACCAAAUAUCAGAAAGCCAACAUACAGUAUAUACAUAUUACAUGGACUGCUUGAAAUUAUUGAUGUAGAAAAGUUAAAUAUAAGUAAAACAUCAUCACAUAAUGAAAAUAUCAAGGCUUUUGUUUCUUUAGGUAUCAAACAUACAAUGAUAAAAAUAUUCCUAAUACCAGUGCUACAGUAAAUGCUAAAUUCAUCCCAGUAAAAAUGACCAAACACGUACACCAGCAAGAAACCUGUAUCAAACAAAAAAGCAAAAAGAACACCAUAAACAUGUUUUAUUUAAUGGCAGAAGGCUAAGUGUAAAGAAAUUAGUGCUAAUAUGGUAAGGUAUAGUUAACAAAAAUCUUCAUGCUUUUGUCUAACAAACCAUAAAAGUUCACAGAUUGUUAUCUAACUUCACAGAGACUACAGUGUUUUUUUGGAAUGGUAAGUUAAAAGUUAAUCUUACCCUGCAAUUCUGAUUGCUUGAUGUAGUUUGUCGUUGCUGCUUUUCUUUUAGUUCCCCAUAUAUAAAAAAGGGACAUGACAGCAAUUGGCAUGCUAAAUAAACUCCCAUCAAUAUGACGGGCCAGAAGCGGCGUGGUUUGGAGCAGUGCUCCACAAGACCAACAUAUAUUGUAGCAACUAUAAAAAGCAAGAAAAUCAGAGCUGUAAGAAUACCAGGAAGGGCAGAAGAUAAAGAGACUGAUCAUGAAAAAGAACAUCUUCUCUGGAUUGUGGUUAAAAAAUAAAUAAAUAAAUAAAUAAAUAAAAGUUAAAGACCAAGUUAUAUAUAGUAUGAUAAUUGUGCUGGCUAUGAAUUUCUGUAAGGCAAGAAACAAAAAAAGACGUUCUUACUUGUAAAACAAACGUUUAUGAAUGCAACCAAUCUGAGCCCC
ensembl:lncRNA